rnacentral:rRNA from 1 species
GGUACUCGAGUGGCGAACGGGUGAGUAACACGUGGGUGAUCUGCCCUGCACUUCGGGAUAAGCCUGGGAAACUGGGUCUAAUACCGGAUAGGACAAUGGUUUGGAUGCCGUUGUGGAAAGUUUUUUCGGUGUGGGAUGAGCUCGCGGCCUAUCAGCUUGUUGGUGGGGUAAUGGCCUACCAAGGCGUCGACGGGUAGCCGGCCUGAGAGGGUGUACGGCCACAUUGGGACUGAGAUACGGCCCAGACUCC